rnacentral:misc_RNA from 1 species
GAUGAAGAACGCAGCGAAAUGCGAUAAGUAAUGUGAAUUGCAGAAUUCAGUGAACCAUCGAAUCUUUGAACGCACAUUGCGCCCGCCAGUAUUCUGGCGGGCAUGCCUGUCUGAGCGUCAUUUCAACCCUCAUGCCCCUAGGGCGUGGUGUUGGGGAUCGGCCAAAGCCCGCGAGGGACGGCCGGCCCCUAAAUCUAGUGGCGGACCCGUCGUGGCCUCCUCUGCGAAGUAGUGAUAUUCCGCAUCGGAGAGCGACGAGCCCCUGCCGUUAAACCCCCAACUUUCCAAGGUUGACCUCAGAUCAGGUAGGAAUACCCGAUGAACUUAAGCAUAUCAAUAAGCGGAGGA